UACGGGGGGGGCAAGCGUUGUUCGGAAUUACUGGGCGUAAAGCGUGCGUAGGCGGUUCUUCAAGUCCGUUGUGAAAGCCCCGGGCUCAACCUGGGAAUGGCAGUGGAAACUAGGGGACUGGAAUCUGGCAGAGGGGGGUGGAAUGCCGCGUGUAGCAGUGAAAUGCGUAGAGAUGCGGCGGAACACCGAUGGCGAAGGCAGCCCCCUGGGCUGAGAUUGACGCUCAGGCACGAAAGCGUGGGGAGCAAACAGG
rnacentral:rRNA from 1 species